rnacentral:RNase_P_RNA from 1 species
UUAGUUUAUGAGGAAAGUCCGGGCAUCACAGGGCAGGGUAGCUGUUAACGACAGCCGGAGGCGACUCCCGAAACAGUGCAACAGAAAGAAACUGCCUCUUUAUGAGGUGAUGGUGGAAAGGUGCGGUAAGAGCGUACCAGAGUACAGGUGACUGUACUGCUAUGCAAACUUUACCUGAUGCAACAUCUAUUUGGAACUUUAUGUCAUAACGUUUGCCCGACGGAUAUAAAGUUAUGGUGGCUUGAGCCUAUCGGCGACGGUGGGUCUAGAUAAAUUGCUGUACUCGACAGAACCCGGCUUAUCGGUCUGGUC